ACGGUAAAAACAAUAUAUGUAGCUGAGAUUAUGGAUUUGCAGGUGGUUGUGGUGGCUAUGGUGAUGAUGGCUCAGUGAUGAAUGUGAACAUGAAUGAGAUGAUGGUGAUUAUGAAAAAGGGAUAAUGAUUAUAGAAAAGAAGCAGUGUCUAAGGAGACGAUAAAUACAAAACGCAUUGUGGAUGUGAUGAUCAUAUUGUAACGGUGACGGACGGAAAAGUGAUGGAGAUGGAAGAAGAGCAUUGGUAGUUGGUAAAUCGAAGAAGAAUAAGGUAGUGAUUUUUCAUUAACCAGAUAUUAUAGGUGAUAUCGUACAUAUUACAAAAAUAAUAAAAAUGUUUUUUUGGUUAGAUAUUGAAUUAUGCUUUGUUUUGUAGCUGUCCAAAAGAUAUUGCUAGAAAAAACAGCCAAAAAACAU
rnacentral:lncRNA from 1 species